GAGUGUGGGGAUCUACACAGGCAGGCACACAACAUAGCUGCAUCACGUUCACACAACACCCAGGACCACAUGAUGUUUUGAAAAGUCACAUGACCAAUUAGGAAGUGAUAAGUGUCUGCUGGUUGCAAGGCAGAUUCUCUUUGUGUUGGUGCUGGACACUGUUGUGCACUUUGGGCUUCUUUUUCAUGUACAGGUAAUUUCUAGAAGUGCGUGUCUACUCUUCAUGGAGGACACAGGCUUCUGCAUGGAGUUUUAAAAUAUGUUGUGAUCAUCUCAUUGUGACCUGAGCUGCUGGGCUGCAUCGCAAAGGAAUGUUCACCUUUGUCUUCAUAUGUCAAUGAGCUGUGGGACAGUUGAGCAUACUGAAAAGCUAUCCCUGUACAAGGCCGGAUCCACACUGAUGCUUUGCCCCUUCUUGCCAAGGGACCACAUUGUUAGAAACAUUGGUUUGGGGUGUAUUUAUAACCAUAACACGGUGUGAGAUUUUUGUCGUGGUAUCUGAAGAUCUUGAAUGUGUGGUGCUUGGUGUGUUGCAUGCUUCUUCUGGUGCUGGGUUGCUGUCUCCUGUUUCUUCUUGUCUCACCAGGGUCCUCCUGAGCAGGGGUUUCGCAUUGGCUGAUCCGACCUUCCUAGACUGAGGAGAAUCCACCAAUUGUUUAGCAGUAUUUAAGAUCCAUUUUAAUAACUUUUCCACACUUUUUGUACUAAAUUGUAAUAAAUUUGGAAUACAUCUAUAUAUCUGCCUCUUGUCAACUGUCCCUUUGUGGGGAAAAUAUAGAGUUAGCUACACUACAUUAAGGGAAGACUUGUGGGUCCUCCUGCCCAUCAUCAGGGGGUGGCGUAGUCAGACCGUAAAGAUUUACUGCUUGAC